rnacentral:lncRNA from 1 species
AUAUAUUCCAGCCUAGAAAGUCAGCUCUUUCCCAGAGGCUGCAAUUUCUGGGCUUAAUCUUGAAUGAUGGUUGUCACUGAAAAGGCUCAAGGAGCUCUCUUGUUCCUUCCACCAUCUGAGAACACAGUGAGAAGUCCCCAGGCUUCAACCUGAAAAAGGGCCCUCAUCAGAACCUGAUCAUCAGAACUUGGCACCCCAAUCUUUGUCUUCUGAUCUACAUUGUGACCUAAGUCAGAACGGGGCCAUAGCAGGCAUAAAAGCAACAAUUUAUCAAACUGCCUGAGGGAAUGAUGUAAAAAAUGCUCAUCAAGAAUAUCCAUCUGGACAGGACAAAAAAUGACGCUGAGAGGACUUUGGAGAGUUUCUACCCAGUUUUCCUAAAUUCCAGGAAGUUUUCUUAGUAGAAAUGAUGAUGACUGAAAGCUACUUCAUUUCUGGGAUACUUGAGACUUCUGGUCUGCAUAUGUGACUGUAGGAAGAAAUAAAUAAUUUAUGUUUUGGAAAAACCCUAAUUACCUAAAGAUGACUCUCAUGGAGUAAAAGGGAAAUGGGCAUUUGUCUUGUUUUCCCAAACUCUUUCAGUACUCAGUGAAUAAAAAUUAAGGUAACAACAUGAAUUCAGAAGGGCUUCUUAUUUGAGCUCUCUUACCUGUGCAGACUUAUAUUAUUGUGUGUGUGACAGGCAUUUUCCUUAUUUUAUUUUAUACAAUGUGUGUGAAUAAAUUUUUAUACAACUUCUUUUAUUAAAGGCAGAGAAUGCUUCAGCUUACCUUUGUAUUAUCUACAUUUUGGAAACAGAAUGAAUAUUCAAAUGUUGAAUUAGCUCGAAUAAAUGAAUAGUUCUUAUUUUCCAAGUUUUC